rnacentral:rRNA from 1 species
UGGGGAAUCUUGGACAAUGGGCGCAAGCCUGAUCCAGCCAUGCCGCGUGGAUGAUGAAGGCCUUAGGGUUGUAAAAUCCUUUCGCCGAGGACGAUAAUGACGGUACUCGGAGAAGAAGCUCCGGCUAACUUCGUGCCAGCAGCCGCGGUAAUACGAAGGGGGCUAGCGUUGUUCGGAUUUACUGGGCGUAAAGCGCGUGUAGGCGGGUCGUUAAGUUGGGGUUGAAAUCCCGAGGCUCAACCUCGGAACUGCCUCCAAAACUUCCAGCCUGGACUCAAGUAGAGGCAAGUGGAAUUGCGAGUGUAGAGGUGAAAUUCGUAGAUAUUCGCAGGAACACCAGUGGCGAAGGCGACUUGCUGGACUUGUAGUGACGCUGAGACGCGAAAGCGUGGGGGGCAAACAGGAUUAGAUACCCCAGUAGUCCCUGAGCGGGCUGGCAAGGCGCAU